GAUGAACGCUGGCGGCGUGCCUAAUACAUGCAAGUCGAGCGAACAGACGAGGAGCUUGCUCCUUUGACGUUAGCGGCGGACGGGUGAGUAACACGUGGGUAACCUACCUAUAAGACUGGGAUAACUUCGGGAAACCGGAGCUAAUACCGGAUAAUAUUUCGAACCGCAUGGUUCGAUAGUGAAAGAUGGCUUUGCUAUCACUUCUAGAUGGACCUGCGCCGUAUUAGCUAGUUGGUAAGGUAACGGCUUACCAAGGCAACGAUACGUAGCCGACCUGAGAGGGUGAUCGGCCACACCUGAACUGAGACACGGUCCAGACUCCUAGUGGAGGCAGCAGUAGGGAAUCUUCCGCAAUGGGCGAAAGCCUGACGGAGCAACGCCGCGUGAGUGAUGAAGGUCUUCGGAUCGUAAAACGCUGUUAUUAGGGAAGACCAAACGUGUAAGUAACUGUGCACGUCUUGACGGUACCUAAUCAGAAAGCCACGGCUAACUACGUG
rnacentral:rRNA from 1 species